UGCAUUGAUCGCACGUCACACCUGCUUGUGUUACCUGGCCGUUAGGUGGCGUUGCACUAAAUGCGCGUAAUACGACCGGCUUGAUUUCAGAAAGGUGUAAACACACCAAUAUAAUAGAUCACGGUACACUUAAUACAAACCGUGAACUUUACACUAUUUACUCGUUUUCAUUUAGAAUGGGAUAGAAGCUGUAAUACAGAUAUAAAUAUAGUGCAAAUUGUAUAGUUUCAUCCCCGCAUCACUUAAAGUUUUAGUGCUAAAACAUUUUAUAAAGGAAACAAUAUUCAAACUUUAAAACUAAUUCUUUAACAUAAGAAAUCAUUGAGGAUUCCGUUUAAAAUUUUUUGAAAAAAUCAGACUAUCUUUUUAAAGUCUUAUUCAGAAGACAAUCCUAAUGUGUGAAACUGUUUGCAUUAAAAAAAAUGGUUGAACCUGCUCAUUAUGAAUUAACAGAUCAGUUUGGAGCAAGUAGUGUUUUAGCAGCAGCAUUACAUCAGAUGGAUGGCAUUAUUUCUAGCACCGAUUUCGAAUUUCGCACUGAUGCUAGUGAUCAUGCUGAUCAUGCUAUGGCCUUUCGAAAAGCGAGACCACUAGGAAGAGCCAAGGUCUGUUAUUUAUUAUAUGAUUUAAAAAGAGCUUUAGAAGGUUCCAGAGACAGACAACUCCUAUUAGACUCAAUACCAGCAGACAUUGUUUUAUUUCUUCGUGAUUGGUUGUUAUCAGAAGAAGUAUGUCUGGAGGCGAUGUUCGUUUCAUCAUUGAAGAAGUAAGACUUGGCUUUAAUAAGUCUAACCUAGUUCUAAGUUGUCGACCAAUAAACAGUUCUGCAGGAGUUAACUUUGUAACACA